GCCCAGACUCCUACGGGAGGCAGCAGUGGGGAAUAUUGCACAAUGGGGGAAACCCUGAUGCAGCGACGCCGCGUGAGCGAUGAAGUAUUUCGGUAUGUAAAGCUCUAUCAGCAGGGAAGAAAAUGGCGGUACCUGACUAAGAAGCCCCGGCUAACUACGUGCCAGCAGCCGCGGUAAUACGUAGGGGGCAAGCGUUAUCCGGAUUUACUGGGUGUAAAGGGAGCGUAGACGGCUGUGCAAGCCAGAUGUGAAAGCCCGGGGCUCAACCCCGGGACUGCAUUUGGAACUGUGUGGCUGGAGUGUCGGAGAGGCAGGCGGAAUUCCUAGUGUAGCGGUGAAAUGCGUAGAUAUUAGGAGGAACACCAGUGGCGAAGGCGGCCUGCUGGACGAUGACUGACGUUGAGGCUCGAAAGCGUGGGGAGCAAACAGGAUUAGAUACCCGAGUA
rnacentral:rRNA from 1 species